rnacentral:rRNA from 1 species
CACGUAGGGUGCGAGCGUUGUCCGGAAUUAUUGGGCGUAAAGAGCUCGUAGGCGGUGUGUCGCGUCGGCCGUGAAAACCUGCAGCUUAACUGUGGGCUUGCGGUCGAUACGGGCAUCACUGGAGUUCGGCAGGGGAGACUGGAAUUCCUGGUGUAGCGGUGAAAUGCGCAGAUAUCAGGAGGGAACACCGGUGGGCGAAGGCGGGGUCUCUGGGGCCGA